UACGAAGGGGGCUAGCGUUGUUCGGAUUUACUGGGCGUAAAGCGCGCGUAGGCGGGUCACUAAGUCAGGGGUGAAAUCCCGAGGCUUAACCUCGGAACUGCCUUUGAUACUGGUGACCUGGAGAUCGGGAGAGGUUGGUGGAAUUCCGAGUGUAGAGGUGAAAUGCGUAGAUAUCGGGAGGAACACCAGUGGCGAAGGCGACUACCUGGCCUGUUCUUGACGCUGAGGCGCGAAAGCUAGGGGAGCAAACGGG
rnacentral:rRNA from 1 species